rnacentral:rRNA from 1 species
CUGCCUACGGGGCGCAGCAGUCGGGAAUAUUGCGCAAUGGAGGAAACUCUGACGCAGUGACGCCGCGUAUAGGAAGAAGGUCUUCGGAUUGUAAACUAUUGUCAUUAGGGAAGAGAAAGGACAGUACCUAAAGAGGAAGCUCCGGCUAACUACGUGCCAGCAGCCGCGGUAAUACGUAGGGAGCAAGCGUUAUCCGGAUUUACUGGGUGUAAAGGGAGCGUAGACGGCUGUGCAAGUCUGAAGUGAAAUGCCGGGGCCCAACCCCGGAACUGCUUUGGAAACUGUACAGCUAGAGUGCAGGAGGG